UACGGGGGGGCAAGCGUUGUUCGGAAUUACUGGGCGUAAAGGGCUCGUAGGUGGCCAACUAAGUCAGACGUGAAAUCCCUCAGCUUAACUGGGGAACUGCGUCUGAUACUGGAUGGCUUGAGUUUGGGAGAGGGAUGCGGAAUUCCAGGUGUAGCGGUGAAAUGCGUAGAUAUCUGGAGGAACACCGGUGGCGAAGGCGGCAUCCUGGACCAAUACUGACGCUGAGGAGCGAAAGCCAGGGGAGCAAACGGG
rnacentral:rRNA from 1 species